rnacentral:rRNA from 1 species
UAACACGUAGGGGGCGAGCGUUGUCCGGAAUCAUUGGGCGUAAAGAGCUCGUAGGCGGCUCAGUAAGUCGGGUGUGAAACCCCCAGGCUCAACCUGGGGACGCCACCCGAUACUGCUGUGGCUAGAGUCCAGUAGGGGAGUGUGGAAUUCCCGGUGUAGCGGUGAAAUGCGCAGAUAUCGGGAGGAACACCAGCGGCGAAGGCGGCACUCUGGGCUGGAACUGACGCUGAGGAGCGAAAGCGUGGGUAGCAAACAGGAUUAGAUACCCUGGUAGUCCACGCCGUAAACGUUGGGCACUAGGUGUGGGGACCCUCCAACGGUUUCCGUGCCGUAGCUAACGCAUUAAGUGCCCCGCCUGGGGAGUACGGCCGCAAGGCUA